rnacentral:rRNA from 1 species
AGGACAAACGCUGGCGGCGUGCCUAAGACAUGCAAGUCGAACGGUGGGGCUUGCCCCACAGUGGCGGACGGGUGAGGAACGCGUGGGCAACCUGCCCCGGGGUGGGGGAUAACACUCAGAAAUGGGUGCUAAGACCGCAUACGAGUGGGGGACGGAAGGUUCCUUAGGGAAAAGCCUUCGGGCUGCCCUGGGAGGGGCCCGCGUCGGAUUAGCUAGUUGGUGUGGUAACGGCGCACCAAGGCUGCGAUCCGUAGCUGGUCUGAGAGGACGACCAGCCACACUGGGACUGAGACACGGCCCAGACUCCUACGGGAGGCAGCAGUUAGGGAAUUUUCACAAUGGGCGCAAGCCUGAUGGAGUGACGCCGCGUGCAGGACGACGCCUUUCGGGGUGUAAACUGCUUUUCUUCGGGACGAGAACGGACGGUACCGGAGGAAGAAGCCUCGGCUAACUACGUGCCAGCAGCCGC